AGUGAACGCUGGCGGCAGGCCUAACACAUGCAAGUCGAACGGCAGCACAGGAGAGCUUGCUCUCUGGGUGGCGAGUGGCGGACGGGUGAGGAAUAUAUCGGAAUCUACCCUUUCGUGGGGGAUAACGUAGGGAAACUUACGCUAAUACCGCAUACGAACUGAGGUUGAAAGCGGCGGACCGCAAGGCGCCGCGCGGAUGGAUGAGCCGAUAUCCGAUUAGCUAGUUGGCGGGGUAAAGGCCCACCAAGGCGACGAUCGGUAGCUGGUCUGAGAGGAUGAUCAGCCACACUGGAACUGAGACACGGUCCAGACUCCUACGGGAGGCAGCAGUGGGGAAUAUUGGACAAUGGGCGCAAGCCUGAUCCAGCCAUGCCGCGUGUGUGAAGAAGGCCUUCGGGUUGUAAAGCACUUUUGUUGGGAAAGAAAAGCGGUCGGUUAAUACCCGGUCGUUCUGACGGUACCCAAAGAAUAAGCACCGGCUAACUUCGUGCCAGCCGCCGCCGUAA
rnacentral:rRNA from 1 species